UCCACUCUAGUUAAGAUUACAAAAAGUAUAAAGGGAUCAACUUUUAGUGUGUGAAAUAAUUUUUAUUGAAAUAUCAACAGUCAACACAACCAUCAUGUCUAAACAUCCCGCAGGUUACUAUGGGGACUAUAACCCAGAUUUGGUUGUUAACCACGCUGGGUUAACCGAAGAGGAGGUGGACCACCUCCUCACCCAAAUUCCCGCGGGCACCUUCGAGUGGGUUUCCCUUAUUAACAUCUAUCUGCGACUGGAACCGCCCCCAUCCCUUGGAGGUUAUUUUGAUAUUUUUACCGUGGGGCGCUUGACCGCCGCGAUAGACACCGAUGAGGAGCGGGGUAUAAUUGACAUUUGGGUAUGGGUACAUUAAACCUCAUACAUGUUGGAUCGUUUUAUGAUGUUCAUAGCGUUUUUUAUGAUGUUCAUAGCGUUAGGUUUGGCUUAAAAACUGCAAUUAAAAAUUUAUUUAGGUGUAUGACUUUUUUAGUUUAAGUAUGUAGUUUGUUUUAUGUAUAAUAAAAAAUAAUAUUCAUUCUGAUUAUUUUUGUGAUCUUAUUUCCUGUCUAACGUUUUUUUCUUGUAAAUUUAUGAAUCAAAAAUUUUAUAAAUAUCCAGUUGUAUUUGAUUAUUAAUUUAUCGUUACAAUCAUUUUCCCCAAAAAAUUUAUAUCCAAUAGUUUACAAACAAUAUAUACAUUUCUAAUAGUUAAAACACAUUUAUACAUCUUUUAUAAAAAAAGUGGAUUUGUUUAAUUGAAAUAGGUAAAAAUUCAUAUCCAAAACCUUAAUUAAUUACUGGGCGGUUAACAUUUUUUACCAAAAGAUUUUGAAGAAUUUACAACAAUUUAUCAUAAACCCUCAACAGAUGAUAUAGUAAUUAUUGUAAAAGCUGAAGUUUAUAUUUUUUUCAUUAUCUACUUUUAGAUUUAAAACUAAUUAUCCGAAAUCUAUAAGCGAAGAAUUUAAAAUAUCAAGUCCAAUUUCGGCAGCGAUAACAACUUACUCAGGUGGUAUUUAUCUUUUUCUCAGAGAUAAUACAUAUAUUACAUUAUCUAGUUGCAUCUCUGGAUAUAAUGUUCCUGGUUUAACAAACGAAUUAUUUGAAGGUGUUCCUAAUAAAAUAACAAGGACAUUUAGAUAUUUAAACGGAAAGCUGUACUUUUUUAAUGAAAAUAAUUACUUUGAAUAUGAUGAGUUUACUAAGAGUGUCAUACAAGCGGGACCUAAAACUUUAUCUAUAUUUAACAUUAAUUGUCCGCGAGAACCCAUCUUAAUUCAAUUGAAAAAAUUAUCUUUUAAAAAGAUUAUUACACACAAUGCAGUCCUGGUUGAAAAUUUAACAGAUUAUACUCGUGAAGAAGAUAGUUGGUGUAGUUGGUGUAUUCAUCAGUGUUUGUUUACACUUCAGACCUACAAAAGUUGUGCCAAAAAGACGCAUCGUAAGUUUAUCGAAAAUAUUGACUUCGGCACAAGUUCUUCAUCCACAAAUUCUUCCGAUUCAGACUACUGAAUUCUUCUCUAAAACCAACAUAAAUAAUCUUUUUUUGGAAAAUUUUUAUCAAAUUUUUAUCAAACAAAAAGUGCGUCACAAAAUUCCUACGAUAAGGAAAGCGUGUUAUCUGUUAACCGCAAAAAUUGAUUAUAAAAGUUCCGUUUUUUACACAUUUCACCAGUUUUAUUAAAACUAUCUUUGUGAGAAGUUGUAUGUGCUCCGCUGUGUAUUUUUGCAUUUAAAUUUCAAAGGAUUCUGUAAUGGCUGAUCAACUAUUAAAUCUGAAUAAAAUUGCUGCCUGUGAAUAUACUGAUACAUAUGUCAGUGCCAACGAUUUGGAAGUGAACAAGAAAUAUAAAAUCAUCAAUUUAACCAAGGCAAACACACAACAUGGGGUUAUGAUGGUAGCAUAUCUGGACAACGUCGGUAAAGUUUUUUUACCUAAACGACUAACAGCAGUUAUGAAUGAUACCAUAAUUACGACACUAAUGGAAGGACUCGGAUCUUAUUUGAUUUAUAUGGGACGUAAGCAAGCUAAUGGAAAUCAGGAACAUGAUGCCCACAUUUUUAAUUUCGAACGUAUUGUUCACGAAGAUUAAUGUAAAAUUUUUUGGUUUCCAAAAUAGACAGCACUAUCCACUCUACCUACCUGAGGUUCGACUCCCCAUGGAAGGAACAACAACAACAACAACUUUUUUUGCAUUAUAUUUUAAACAAAUAACAAAAUAAACUUGGUGCGCAACAGACAAGUUAGGCAAACAACAUUACAAAAAUAAAAAACUACAUAUA